AAGGGAAAUGUAGUUAUAAUUCCAGCGCAGUGGCUCUCUCUCAGUGGCGUGAGACUUUCUACAACAGAAUGACUAAAUGCCCAGAAUGUCCCAUCACUGAACCAGGAGCCAUUAUCAAGAGGACUGUAAGGGAAGGCAAGCACACACACUAGACUGGCCUAGGAGUAUGGAGAUUGGUGCUUACUCUGUGAUCCUGUGCCUGCCAUGGACUUCACUGCUCAGCAUCUGUCUCCCUCCCUGAAGCCUGCUCACAGUUGUUUCCUCAGCUCUAUCACAGUGUCAAAUAGACCUCCCUCCAAUGAAUAUUCAGAAUGAUGUUUUCAUUUAUUAGGUUGAAGCAUUUAAGGGAAAUAGUUUAAGUUGGGUAUGCUUUAGAAAAUGAUCAUAUAGAGCAUUGGGUCUGGCAGCUCUGUAGAAAGAAGCAGCUGAAAGUGUUCCUCCCUCUGUUUGUAUGCUUCUGGAAGCCGUCAGAGGCCAUCUGUCAGACCAACCUGGCCUGUCUUCUGUGCUGUCACACAGGGCUGGGGCAUGUGGGCAGAAUUAAUGUGCCAGGCGAGAGGAAAGUAAGUACUGGUAUACAAAGACAAAAGGACUUCCAUCCUGUUUAUUCCAUUAAAUCUUCACAUUUAUUUAUUAGACAUGUGUCAUGUUUAGGUUAUAGAAAAGAAGAAAAAAAAUGUUCCUUU
rnacentral:lncRNA from 1 species